GAUGAACGCUGGCGGCGUGCUUAACACAUGCAAGUCGAACGAUGAAGCCCAGCUUGCUGGGUGGUUUAGUGGCGAACGGGUGAGUAACACGUGAGUAACCUGCCCUUGACUCUGGGAUAAGCCUGGGAAACUGGGUCUAAUACUGGAUAUGACUUCUCAUCGCAUGGUGGGGGGUGGAAAGAUUUAUUGGUCUUGGAUGGACUCGCGGCCUAUCAGCUUGUUGGUGAGGUAAUGGCUCACCAAGGCGACGACGGGUAGCCGGCCUGGGAGGGUGACCGGCCACACUGGGACUGAGACACGGCCCAGACUCCUACGGGAGGCAGCAGUGGGGAGUAUUGCACAAUGGGCGCAAGCCUGAUGCAGCGGCGCCGCGUGAGGGAUGACGGCCUUCGGGUUGUAAACCUCUUUCAGUAGGGAAGAAGCGAGAGUGACGGUACCUGCAGAAGAAGCGCCGGCUAACUACGUG
rnacentral:rRNA from 1 species